CGACUAUCGUCGCAUGUUCCAGGUAUGAUUCGACAUAUCCCAAGCGUCAUUACUAAACGUAGGCUUCGUUUCGGCGUCCUUGUAUGUGAUGGAAGAACUGCUUCCAGCUAGUGAGUGUCUUCUUAGACCAUACCCAGAAGCUGCUGGUGAUACCAACAAUCAUCGCCAUUAGAAGAGGCAGGCGAUGACUAUCAUGGCGGGCACGAUGUAGAGCACGGAGAAGAUGCCGAUGCGUAUCAUCAGCUUCUCAAGUUUGUCCGUUUUCGUGCCGUCGUGUUUCAUAACAGUACGGAUACGAAAGAGCGACACGAAGCCUGCCAUCAGGAACAAGGUGCCCAAGAAAAGAUAGACGCAUAACGGUGCCAAUACGAAACCUCGUAGCGCUUCCACGUUCCAAAGACCAACGUAACAUACGCCUGACAAUAUGUCACCUGUAAGUAACGUAUCACCUGUAAUAUAAUCACCUGUAAGUAAUACCUGUAAGUAAUAUGUCACCUGAAGUAACAAAUUGUGAAAGUGCGAAGAUACAUAAGCGUUAUUAACACAAGUCGAACUUUAUCAAAUAAAAAUGGAAAAUAUAAUUGGACUCAAGGGAGCGACGCUUUUGACAGAUUUGUAGAUUUCAUAAUGUUAUUUUUAAUCCUCUGAAGUAUGAAAUAAGCUAUAAUGUUCUUAGUUUAAUGAUUUCAUUGUAAGUGAAAUUAUAUCUUUGGUAUGCUC